UUGCCUACGGGAGGCAGCAGUGGGGAAUAUUGCACAAUGGGGGAAACCCUGAUGCAGCGACGCCGCGUGAGUGAAGAAGUAAUUCGUUACGUAAAGCUCUAUCAGCAGGGAAGAAAAUGACGGUACCUGAGUAAGAAGCCCCGGCUAACUACGUGCCAGCAGCCGCGGUAAUACGUAGGGGGCAAGCGUUAUCCGGAUUUACUGGGUGUAAAGGGAGCGUAGACGGCUGCGCAAGUCAGAAGUGAAAGCCCGGGGCUCAACCGCGGGACUGCUUUUGAAACUGUAUAGCUAGAGUG
rnacentral:rRNA from 1 species